rnacentral:rRNA from 1 species
UGUUUUCAUUAAUCAAGAACGAAAGUUAGGGGAUCGAAGACGAUCAGAUACCGUCGUAGUCUUAACCAUAAACGAUGCCGACCAGCGAUUAGGAGACGUUGAAUACAAAACACCACCAUCGGUUGCGCGGUCGUCCUUGGCGUCUCGGUUUCGGCCGGGGCGCGGGGAUGGCUUAGCCCGGUGGCACCGGUGAAUGACUCCCUAGAGCCUUGUGAGAA